GAACUAUAGAGUUUGAUCCUGGCUCAGAUUGAACGCUGGCGGCAUGCUUUACACAUGCAAGUCGAACGGUAACAGGUCUUCGGAUGCUGACGAGUGGCGAACGGGUGAGUAAUACAUCGGAACGUGCCUAGUAGUGGGGGAUAACUACUCGAAAGAGUAGCUAAUACCGCAUGAGAUCUAAGGAUGAAAGCAGGGGACCUUCGGGCCUUGCGCUACUAGAGCGGCUGAUGGCAGAUUAGGUAGUUGGUGGGAUAAAAGCUUACCAAGCCGACGAUCUGUAGCUGGUCUGAGAGGACGACCAGCCACACUGGGACUGAGACACGGCCCAGACUCCUACGGGA
rnacentral:ncRNA from 1 species